GAUGUGGCAAUGGUCUUUGAUCAGAUAAUUGGUGUAUGAGCGGCAAAAUGCUUUAUAUGGAAACCACUCAAUUCUCAAUCAAUCAGUUAGAAAUCUUCUCCAAUACGUUACCUGUUCAAUCAAUCCUUAAAACCCUAAUUUCAAUCUCAUAUAUCUUGGCAUAUAUCUUGGAGUUAGUUUGAAGAUCCAUCCAAUUCCUGCGAUUUCAUACUUCUUCAAUUGUCUCAAACACAAAAACUAUCUAGGUAUGUUUUCUUGAUCUUUCAUGAUGUAAUUCAGAUGAUCGAGUGUGAUGUAGGGUUAUAUGAUGAGUAUUGGCGACGGUGGCUAUGGAGCUUUGAAGGGUUUUUAUGGUGAAGAGGUUUUGAUGAUAAGGAUAUCAGAUAGCCGAAGCCAUGGGAGAUGGACAAUCUGAAAUUGAUUUCAAUCUUUGCUAAUCUAUUGAAUCUCGUGUUGAUGAUGCAUAUCAAGCUACUGUGCUCAGGUUUUGUUCAAAUCAAUAGUAACAUAGCAACGGAUACAAGCAUAUCCUUUGUAUAUCCACUUAGGAAUUCACAUUAUCAUAUCAGUAUUCUUCUUUGGAAGGUAAUGAAUCUCAACCAAAAGUUAAUGAUGAUUGGUCUGAAGGUACGAAAAAGAUUAUGCAGUUAUGCUUUAACUAUAUUAUACCAUCUAUUAAUUUGCAAAGGAAGUAAACAAUGCUACGUUGAUAUGAUUGGCUAAAACGGAUAGUUCUUUGAUUGUGUUUGGCUAAAAAGACGGCGCCCUAAUCUGUGAUGAAGCGCUUACACGCACCUUUACCAAGUUCUUCAAAGUAACUGGAGCUCUCUAAACCUCACCGUAGAUUUAGAACACGUCCACGCCUACCAUCUCUGAUCCGACGAUGGAGCGCCAAUGCUUCCUUUCAACAUUUUAAUCUUAUUUAGAUUUCAUACUAUGCUUUGAUUAUCAUAAAUAUGUUGCAGGGGGGUUGCUGUUUUUGCAAGUAGAAUGUUCAUAAUAAAAAUUUGUAGUACUUUUGGAGAAUUUCUUAGCUUUCAAAGGCUGCUUUUAUUCAUCAAAAUGUACCCCAUUGGUCAAAUUUUAUGCGUUUCACUAACUUACAUGAUUAACUAUCAACUUAAUCGCGACUAGAUUUUUUCUUCAUCUAUAGUGUUUAGUCUAAUAUAUAGUUUGCUAUGUUUCCAAUAGCAAAGUUUUGGUCACACCACUAAAUUAAUAUAUUUAAACUCUUACCAUUUUUAUAAAAAUAUUAUUUAUUUCUUUUGACUCUGGUUUUUGGGUGAAGUUCCGAUGAUAUUCUGGCAACUAGAUUGGACCAUAAAAGUUAUGCUACAGAUGGAAUUGUUUUGGAAGAGUUGAUGCUUCUACUGUUCGGAAGGAGCUCACAACGAUAGAGCACAAAAAGUCGAGCUGUCUAAAACAUGCUCAAUGAACGUCAGACGCAAGCCGAGCUCUUAAAGGAGGCUGAGGUAUGGACAAUUGGAAAGGAAACCUACUUUAUGUCGACAUCUGUCGUUAGAUGUUAUAAUGUUGAGAUCACCAUGUCAUGAAAGAGGGUGCGGCCAUCACACGUGAAUGAGCGCUAGCGUUUGAUCUUGCUCAGAAGGGUUCACAUGGCUUUAUAACAAUAGAUAAAUGGUGUAAUACAAUCGGAGCUUUCAUAAAUUUGGUUAGUGUAUGAGAGAGAGAACCCAGAGCUUUGCAUGGAGAAAUUGCGGGUCAAAUACAAAGAUUUAUCUAAAAAAGUUGAACAACGAAAACGGCAGAAAACAAAUGGCAAUAGAAACGAAAACAACAAUGUGUCUGGUGGUGUGGGUCGUGGUGAGAGACUGAAUCCUGCCCAAAAGGAAAGAAUGCGUCUUUUAACAACUACAACAUUUGACGGAGGGAAAGGCGAGGAUAACAAGACUUUGGGUCAAAGCAUCUCGAGUUCGAUUGGCCUGACCCAUUUGUACAUUUCCCUCAAAUCCUCAAUUAUGUGCACCUAAUGCAUAGAUAAUAUAACAAAAACUAAAACUUUAAAACAAUAUAAAGGUAACACGCAGUCGUUCCUCAUCUUUCACUUUACAUGCUAUUCGAUUUCAUGUACAAAUGUGCUUUUUGAUUUAGACUGCCACAGGGUAUCCUCAUGUUCUUUAAGUGUAUUUUAUUGCCAUUAUAGGCUCAAUUUAAAACAAAUGGGUCAUUGCAGCCUGACUCCUUACUGAUACCCAAAUGAUGUACCUCUUUUUGAGCCGUUAACCAAUUCAUUUCAGCUUUAAAGUUAUUUAUUUAUUUAUAUGUUGACGAAUUCAUUUUAAAGUUACUCAAAGAUAAAAUGUAUCAUCUUUUCAUAUCUAUAAAUUGUAAUAAAGUCACUCAGUUGGUUCUUCCCCUGCCUAUAAAGAGCUUUGUCACUUUUUGUGGUGAUAUUCAUAGGAAAUUUCAUGAUCUUGCUGAACUUUUUCGCAUUCGUUAUAGACCCAUCCUUGAUAUAGAUAAGUUUGAUUCGUUAUCCGUUAGCUGGUGAAUCGUCUAUUUCAAGUUUCAGCUGGUUUGAGUUUGACUCCUGGGCCUAAGACCUUUCCUCCGGGCCCCAGUGAAAGGCCGAGAGUUAGACAUCAGCAUAGUUAGUCCAUGGAUGGGUCUACCACGAUUAAGCCCGAAAUGCUCACUUCGAGUUAUAAAGAAGCGUCUUCUGAUGCUAAGAAAGCUAUGUCUGCUGCUAAGCUUGCUGAACUUGCUCUUGCUGACCCAAAGAUGGCAAAAGGUAAAUAAUUUAUGUUUGAUUGUUUCUUUUGUUAUUCAUAAUUGAAAAUCCUUUUUAUAGGAUAGACCCUUGAGCGGGUCACUUCAAAAACUGAGUGGUCGGGUCAGAACAGAAUGGCUUGGUUAAAAUUUGAACAUUUUGGUUUUGUUGAGAAUGGUUUUGGCUAACAAAACUAGCGGUGUUAAUGGUUCGGUUUAAAAUCGCGAACAUCUCCAAAUCAGUCGACGGUUUGGAUCCAUGAUUGGUUUUUUUUCUUUUACUUUCAAUCAGUCGGUUUUAAUUCUAUACCGUAGGCGUGUAGCGAACGGUUUGAUUUACGGUUUAUGACGAAAACCGAAUGUAUAAAACCUGUACAUAUAAUUUGUAGGUAUUAUUAAUAAUUUAUUUUGAAGCAUUUGUCUUAAUUUCAAUAAAAUUGGUGACCUUUAAGUGAAUCGAUCUAAAGUCCUAAUAUGUAUUUCUUACUUAAAAUGACUGAAGUGUGUUUUAUAGCUCGAUUUUUUGACAAUUUAUUGACUUAAAACAUCACAUAUGCUUUACCAAGGUUUGUUAAAUUCAACAGUUUUUUACUUUUGGUUUCAUUAUGAACUAUUUUUCCGGUUUAUUGACUUAAAAAUGACAUAUGCUUUACGAAGGUUUGUUACAAUAUAUGUUAUGACUUUAACCCGUUAUUUUUUUAACUGGUCCGGUUAAUUACUUUAACCAGUUCGGUUAAUUAAUCGGUUAUUUCUCCUUUUUCGAAUUUUUCAGUUAACCGGUAUAUCAGUUAAAAAACCGGUUAAUAAUCGGUUCUUAUACUAAAUACUUAUAAUCGGUUACUAACCUACGGUUAAAAAUAACCACUUUACGGUUUCGGUUAAUAACAUGUUAUUUCAUAUAAAGGAUCUGAUUACAAAUGUCCAGUUCUUAGAGAAUGUGCGUGCCUAUAAUUGCAUGUUCUCUAUGACUUCUUUUGGUGUAGAAGUUGAUGACACUAUUAAUCAUAGCCGCGACCCGUAUGUUUUCAAGGAAUUGGGCGUGGUCUCACACUUGUUGUGCUCCCUAUGUCCACCAUCAGAAGCCCUUAUUUCUUCAAAUGUGCAUAUGUGUGACACAGACAAUGAAAUUGCAAAUAGGUUACGCUUCUUCUCUGUGAGUAAUGAACCACAACUUUCGUCUAACGUCGUCAUAGCGAGGGAAGAUCUAGAGGUUAUGGAAUUGUUGGAGUUCUUGAGGAAGGUAAUGCCCAAUAUUUAGUUAUUUAUUUUUAGUGGCAAUCCCGUGUUACAUAUGAGAACCAAAUUAAAGUAUACGGACGAUUUAAUUACGUGGUCAUUUUAAUACAACUAAAUCUUUAUAAGUUAAAACCUAAAAUCAUUAGUGAUGGUUGAGAAUUACAGUGAGAAAGGGUAUAUCGUUGUGCAUUUGCAGUGUCCCGAUCGGCCUAAGUUGUUGUUUGAUACAGUUUGUACACUUACUGAUAUGCAAUAUGUGGUAUAUCAUGCCACUAUUAUUGCUGAAGGAGUUGAAGCUUCUCAGGAAUUAUACAUCCGCCAUACAAACGGAUGUCCAGUCAGCUCAGAAGUCGAGAGGGAACGUGUAAUCCAUUGCCCUGAGGCAGUGAUCAAGAGGCAAGUUCCCGAGGGUGUAAAGUUGGAGCUAUGCGGGGAAGACAGUGUCGUGUUGUUAUCAGACGUGUCUCGGAUAUUUAGAGAGAACGGGCUUUCGAUCACGAGGGUGGAGGUGACUAUGAGAGGAUAUUACAACUUUUUAUUACUAAUACAUCACUUCCCCUACUUUAUAAAUUAACAUGUCUGUUACUUAUUUAUUUGGCUCAAUGAUCGUAUAUAUUAACUGUAAUUGGCUUGAGUUGAACCCAUGCCCAUAACUGAACCAAUCAGGUAGCAAAAUCUAUGCAGAUUUGUUUAAAUUAA